rnacentral:rRNA from 1 species
AACUUUCAACAACGGAUCUCUUGGUUCUGGCAUCGAUGAAGAACGCAGCGAAAUGCGAUAAGUAAUGUGAAUUGCAGAAUUCAGUGAAUCAUCAAAUCUUUGAACGCACAUUGCGCCCUCUGGCAUUCCGGAGGGCAUGCCUGUUCGAGCGUC